CCUGGUGGCUCAGAUGGUGAAGAAUCUGCCUGCAAUGCAGAAGACCAGGGUUCGAUCCCUGGGUCAGGA
rnacentral:tRNA from 1 species